rnacentral:rRNA from 1 species
CAGUAGCCGCGGUAAUACGUAGGUGGCAAGCGUUGUCCGGAAUUAUUGGGCGUAAAGGGCUCGCAGGCGGUUUCUUAAGUCUGAUGUGAAAGCCCCCGGCUCAACCGGGGAGGGUCAUUGGAAACUGGGAAACUUGAGUGCAGAAGAGGAGAGUGGAAUUCCACGUGUAGCGGUGAAAUGCGUAGAGAUGUGGAGGAACACCAGUGGUGAAGGCGACUCUCUGGUCUGUAACUGACGCUGAGGAGCGAAAGCGUGGGGAGCGAACAGGAUUAGAUACCCGUGUAGUCCCUGUCUCUUAUAU